GCUCAGAUUGAACAUCGUGCUUUGCGGCACGAGUUGUAGAUUGCAGGUUGGAGUCUGUGUGGAAGGCGGUGUCCAAGUCCCUGGAACAGGGCGCCCAGGAGGGUGAGAGCCCCGUGGGAUGCCGGCGGAAGCAGUGAGGCCCUUCUGACGAGUCGAGUUGUUUGGGAAUGCAGCUCCAAGCGGGUGGUAAAUUCCAUCUAAGGCUAAAUACUGGCGAGAGACCGAUAGCGAACAAGUACUGUGAAGGAAAGAUGAAAAGCACUUUGAAAAGAGAGUGAAACAGCACGUGAAAUUGUUGAAAGGGAAGGGUAUUGCGCCCGACAUGGGGAUUGCGCACCGCUGCCUCUCGUGGGCGGCGCUCUGGGCUUUCCCUGGGCCAGCAUCGGUUCUUGCUGCAGGAGAAGGGGUUCUGGAACGUGGCUCUUCGGAGUGUUAUAGCCAGGGCCAGAUGCUGCGUGCGGGGACCGAGGACUGCGGCCGUGUAGGUCACGGAUGCUGGCAGAACGGCGCAACACCGCCCGUCUUGAAACACGGA
rnacentral:rRNA from 1 species